rnacentral:rRNA from 1 species
UACGUAGGGUGCGAGCGUUGUCCGGAAUUACUGGGCGUAAAGAGCUCGUAGGUGGUUUGUCGCGUUGUUCGUGAAAACCGGAGGCUUAACCUUCGGCGUGCGGGCGAUACGGGCAGACUGGAGUACUGCAGGGGAGACUGGAAUUCCUGGUGUAGCGGUGAAAUGCGCAGAUAUCAGGAGGAACACCGAUGGCGAAGGCAGGUCUCUGGGCAUUAACUGACGCUGAGGAGCGAAAGCAUGGGGAGCGAACAGG